ACGGCUCACCAAGGCGACNACGGGUAGCCGGCCUGAGAGGGCGACCGGCCACACUGGGACUGAGACACGGCCCAGACUCCUACNGGAGGCAGCAGUGGGGAAUAUUGCACAAUGGGCGAAAGCCUGAUGCAGCGACGCCGCGUGAGNGAUGACGGCCUUCGGGUUGUAAACCUCUUUCAGCAGGGAAGAAGCGAAANUGACGGUACCUGCGCAGUCGAUACGGGCAGGCUAGAGUUCGGUAGGGGAGAUCGGAAUUCCUGGUGUAGCNGUGAAAUGCGCAGAUAUCAGNAGGAACACCGGUGGCGAAGGCGGAUCUCUGGGCCGAUACUGACGCUGAGGAGCGAAAGCGUGGNGAGCGAACAGGAUUAGAUACCCUGGUAGUCCACGCCGUAAACGGUGNGCACUAGGUGUGGGCAACAUUCCACGUUGUUGUCGUGAGAUGUUGGNUUAAGUCCCGCAACGAGCGCAACCCUUGUCCCGGCUGCGGUGAAUACGUUCCCGGGCCUUGUACACACCGCCCGUCACGUCACNAAAGUCGGUAACACCCGAAGCCGGUGNCCCAACCCCUUGUGGGAGGGAGCUGUCGAAGGUGGGACUGGCGAUUGGNACGAAG
rnacentral:rRNA from 1 species